UUCAUUCGCAACCCCAAUUUGGGGAUUCCAAUUGGGGCUAAUUCAUAAUUUUAAAUAGCUUCAGGACCAAUCUCAAACUUCCUAAAUUUUCAAAGAAAACCCAUUUAUCUCUUUCUCUUUCAUUCCGUGGCUUUCAUGUUAGCUUUGGAACCCGCAUAUCUUGAAAUCCAUUUCUCUUUCUCUAGCAGAGCGCUUCCAAUGAGCCAAGUCUGUGAAGCCCGUUUAGCUGAUUGUUGAAGUGGGCUAGGUGAGGGAUUAUAAGCCCUCAGCAAUUGGCAUAGCAAAGGAGACAAAUUACAAUGACAAAGGCCUGAUGCAGAGGGUGAAUCAUACAACACGGCUGUUAUUUUAAGUGGACCAUAUGAAUUAUGUUGAAUGCAUCAAUAUGGACUAUAUGUCACCAAAGAAAACAAUCAUUUGAUGAUUUUCAGCUUGAUGUCAAAGGCUGUCAAGAUGUUUAAUGCUUCUUUUGACAAGUAUGUGAAAGUGGAAUUUCUUGAGGGUGAUUGUUUAAGAGAGAGAGAUUAACCAUUGAAUCUACUUUGACAAAUAUUCUGUAGAAAUUUAAACAGAUUAAGAUUUACUCCAAAA